GCCUCGUGUGCCAGCAGCUGGGCCAGCGCAUGGUGCGCGAGGGACGACUGCCCAGCGCCGACCUGCUGUUCUUCCUCACCUUCGAGGAGAUUGGCCUGCUGCUCAACUCCAGGGCCCCAGGGCUCGUCUUUCGGGCUGAGCGGCGCCAGCGUAUGUACACGGAAAUUGACAAGGACACGUACCCGAGCGUCUUCGCCGGCAUCCCAAAGCCGAUCACAAGGGCCAAGAGGCAUGUGAAAGGUGACUUCGAAAUUAAAGG